rnacentral:rRNA from 1 species
AGAGUUUGAUCCUGGCUCAGAACGAACGCUGGCGGCGUGGAUAAGACAUGCAAGUCGAGCGCUAAUUCCAGGGUAGCAAUAUUCUGAAGUUGGAGCGGCGCAAGGGUGCGUAACACGUGGGUAAUCUGCCAUGAAGUUCGGGAUAACUUGCUGAAAGGCGAGCUAAUACCGGAUGUGACAACCGAGAGGCAUCUUUUGGU